UCUGGGUGUCCAAACCCAAAAGAGAGGUAGCAAGGGAGGCAGGUGCGAAGGGGGCUGCGUUCCUAGGGAGGUAGGUAGCUCAGGAGGCAGGCA
rnacentral:SRP_RNA from 16 species